rnacentral:misc_RNA from 1 species
GUGAAUCAUCGAAUUUUUGAACGCAAAUUGCACUCCCUGGUAUUCCGGAGAGUAUGCCUGUUUGAGGGUCAGUUUAAAUAAAAAUCGGUGUGGUUGCUGCCUUUCGUGGUGACGCACCGGAUUUGGGUCGUCUUGCCUUCGGUUAAGUGACCUAAAAUUUUGCAUGAUUUUUUUUCGAAGUAUUUUAAUGAUUUUUCCUAACGUUUCCGUUUUAAAU